rnacentral:lncRNA from 1 species
UAAAACUGUCCCCAUUUUAAUUAAAAUUGUCCAAAUGCUUCAGAUAACCUAGGACCUUGUUACAACUUCUCUUUUACCUUCAUAUCUCACCACAAUCCGCCGCCCAUUGGAAAUCGCCAGCGCCGGCGGUUGACCUCCAAUCUCUACCAAUUUAACAUCCCAAAAUCCCCUCUAUCCCCUCAUCCCAAAUCUCUAACCCAUUUCUCUCAAACCAUCACCAAUCUCCUCGAAUUUCAGAUUCAAAAUCGGAUCCCCAAAACCCUAACUCACCCAAACCCACCCAAAUUAACAUCCUACAGUCCUCAGGCUUUCCCAAACCCAAAGCCCUUGAUGAUUUUCCCAAGCGAACUCUAGAAUUCUUUGAACUUGGAAUCUAGAAGUUUGAGUUUGGAAGUUUUGUUGAGGUUUUCUGCUCACCAGGGCCUGAAGCUUGCCCUGAUAGAACAUUCUCGAUUAAGGGCGUUCGUUAGGUUGAGUUUUAGGUUUUGAUGAAGCAUUUCAAGUGGCCAGUCGCUCAUCUCUAUUAGCCAUUUUCUUUGGUUAGUCAUUCACAUAUUUCUUUCUUUUCUUUUGUUUUUAUUUGCUUGUUUCUGUCUUCGUUCUCUCCUGGUUUUCCUCUUUCUUUCUUUCUUUCUUGUUCAAAUCCAUGUCUACCUGCAUGAAAGGCCAUAUUAUUUUAUAAUUGGUUAAUUUAGUAAUGUUUGGUUAGCAGUACUUAAUUUUAUUUGUCUCUUUGACUUGUUCCUUUUCUCUUGAUUUUUCUUUUAAAAAAAGAGAGAAAGGGUUCAGAAUUCUUUGUGAGUUGUUGGAAAGUGGGCUUGCUAGUUCAGAAGGCCGAAGGCUGUUAGAGUCUGCUAAUGCAGUAACCCAAAGACAUUUGGGCAAUUUGGUUCAAGGUCUGGUUGUUGAAUUAAUUAUUAAGCAUUUAAGGGUCAGUUUAGGGAAAUGGAUAAAGGAAAUCUUUUAUAACUACCUAGGAAGCUGCUAGGAAAGUGGGGAAUGGGUUGGUUUUAACAAGCAGAUUCAAAAUACAGGGUCUAAAGGGAAAAAACAAGAAUUGGGGAAGGGGUAAUUGAUAAAUGGUGAAAUCAUUUCUGCUGCCCUAAGGUUCUCUAUAUAAGGCUUACCUUCAAUAAAAAUUGGCAGAGAUUAGAACACUUAGAGCUGAAAAUGGCUGAGAUAUACUUUAAAAAAAGAACACUCAAGUUUUUUGCAUUCUUUUGGUUUGAAAAUCGCUGGAAAUUGCUCUUUGAUUUCAUUGUUGGAAGAGUUUAAAACUUCAAAGAGUCUCUAUUUUGUCUGGAGGUUUUAAAAUGGUUUGAAAGAAGCUGAAUUUGCUGGGUUAAUGAACUGAUUUACUACUAUAGCUGAAAUACUUACCUUCUAUUAUUUACUUUGAUUUCCAGGUAUUCAUUGGCUUUUUGGCUUUUAUGUGAUCUAUGAAGUGCCAACUUGCAAUGUGUAACCAAAUUGGAGGUUUGAGAAUGAAUUUUAAUUUUGUUGAACACUAAUCUACGUUCUUUAGAAUUUUUCCAUAUCUAUGUGUUAGUUUCAACUCUUUUAUGUCUGUUCCCUUUAGUUAUGUUGAUAUUCUGGUACUGCAUCUUCAAAGUAUGGUUUAAGCUUUAGUUUGUUAUGAUGUUUUUUUAUUGAAUUGGAGGUCUAUGUAUUUGGACAUUUAGAGGUCUUGAAUGUGUUGUAGUGCAGGUUGUUGGGAUUUUGACUAAGAAAAGCUUUAAAUGUUGUAUUUUAAAUGUCUGUAUUCCUAGGCUAUGCUUUUAAUCCGAUUAAUUAUGCAAAGUGACUUGGGCUGCCAUGAAGUAACACUGCUGUUGGGUUUCGAAUAAGACUCAACAUAGGCCCAAAUCGAACAGCCUAGUCUCAAGCUGGGCCCUUCGGUUUUGGGUGUGGUUGUUUUGUUUCCCCUAUGCAAUUUUGUUUAAUGUGUUACCUGAACCCUAGAUGUUCAUGUGGACAUUUGUUUCGAGCUCCUGCAGCAGGUCUCACCGUUGGGCCUUGUAGUUGGCCCAGUUACGUCAAAAAUCCCGUCCAGUCUUUGGCCUCACCUUGAGCCCAAUUCCCUUUAAUUAUUGUCUAUUGUUAUUUAAGUAUGGAAUUCGUCUCCUUCCCAAAUGUAGGCCAAUAUAGUGUUUGCAUAGGCUGCUUAUAGCAAUGUAUACAGAACUUAAUUUGGAUAAAAUUCAAAUCGCCUCUAACCC